rnacentral:tRNA from 2 species
GCGGGUAUAGCUCAGUUGGGAGAGCGUAUGACUGAAGAUCAUAAGGUCGUGCGUUCGAUCCGCACUAACCGCA